CAGAGACUGGAGGGAAGGACCUGCAGGAGCCAGGGUGCCCACUGAGCUGCAGUUGCAGCUGUUGCUGCUAUCACGCUUCCUCUGCUACCCUCUCAGUCGCUGUCAGCGCCUAUCGGAGGAGUGACAGCUCUGCAAGAGCAGGAGGGAACACUGAACCUGCGCCAUUAAGAAGCAAGUGCAUGCACCAAUCUCCUGCUGAGUGGACCCAGCUCUGGAAAGGUAACCAUUCAUGAGCCUGAGGCUGUGAGAAAUGCUUGCUGUACAAAGGGGAACUCACCACAUUUUCUGAAGCUGUCCUAGAAGUACACUUUUCAGAUUGAUUCAACAUUAUCAGCUUAUCCAGAAAAAAGUAUUAACAAACACAUUAACAACGUCGAAAGUAGCCUACUUUAAGAGAAAAUAUGCAGAAGAAGAA